AACAAGGUUUUUUUCAAAACCCAAACUCAUUAUAAUUAAAUGUAAUU
rfam:Anas platyrhynchos breed Pekin duck contig16242, whole genome shotgun sequence.